rnacentral:rRNA from 1 species
GAUGAACGCUAGCGGCAGGCCUAACACAUGCAAGUCGAGGGAGAAGCCCUUCGGGGCAGAAACCGGCGCACGGGUGCGUAACGCGUAUGCAACCUACCUUUCACAGGGGGAUAGCCCGAAGAAAUUUGGAUUAAUACCCCAUAAUAUUAUUGGAUGGCAUCAUUUGAUAAUUAAAAUUACGAUGGUGAAAGAUGGGCAUGCGUCCUAUUAGCUAGUUGGAGUGGUAACGGCACCCCAAGGCUACGAUAGGUAGGGGUCCUGAGAGGGAGAUCCCCCACACUGGUACUGAGACAGGGACCAGACUCCUACGGGAGGCAGCAGUGAGGAAUAUUGGUCAAUGGUCGGAAGACUGAACCAGCCAUGCCGCGUGCAGGAAGAAUGCCUUAUGGGUUGUAAACUGCUUUUAUAUGGGAAGAAUAAGGAGUACGUGUACUUUGAUGACGGUACCAUAUGAAUAAGC